rnacentral:lncRNA from 1 species
CUACUCAGGAGGCUGAGGCAGGAGAAUGGCGUGAACCCGGGAGGCGGAGCUUGCAGUGAGCCGAGAUUGCGUCACCGCACUCCAGCCUGGGCGACAGAGCGAGACUCCGUCUCAAAAAAAAUGACUGGACAAAAAACACUCUGAUGCAAACAGGCAAGAAACCCAGCAAGGCCUAUCUGGAUUCUCCUUGGCCUGUCUGCAGCAUUCAUUCCUUCUGGGUAUGGAACAGGACCCUCUGGAAUGGGGGCUGUGGCCUACAACAGUUAAACAAGUGAACUAAAGGGCUCCCAAAAUCUCUCCUGCAGCAUUUUCCUUGAGAAGGAGGAAGGUUUGCAUCUCUAAAUCUCUCUCUGGGAACAGUGUGGAAGAUGGAUUGAAAUGGUGUAAAAUUGAAGAUGUGGACUCCGGUUGGGAGACUACACCCUAGAUAAGAUGAAGAGAACUUGAAGCAAGACAAUAGCAAUGGGAAUAUAAAGGAGAGGAGACAUUUGAGUGAAAUUAAGGAAGCACAAUCUGCAGACUGUUUUCUUUUUUUUAAGAGUCAGGGUCUCCCUAUUUUGCCCAGGCUGGUCUCAAAGUCCUAGGCUCAAGCGACCCACCCACCUCAGCCUUCCAAAAUGCUGGAAUUACAGGGGUGAACUGCCUCACCAUGCCUCAGUCUGCAGAAUUUGAUGACUGAAUGUAUUUGGAGAGAGUCUGUGGCUUGGAUGACUGGGAGCUGUGAUUGGUUGAUUGAUUUUGAGGCGGAGUUUCACUCUUGUUGCCCAGGCUGAAGUGCAGUGGCACAACCUCUGCUCACUGCAACCGCUGCCUUCCAGUUUCAAGCGAUUCUCCUGCCUCAGCCUCCCAAGUAGCUGGGAUUACAGGCGCCUGCCACAACGUCUGGAGACGGAGUUUCUCCAUUUUGGCCAGUUUGGUGUCGACCUCCCGGGCUUAAGCGAUCCACCCACCUCAGCCUCCCAAAGUGUUGGGAUUACAGGCGUGAGCCACUGUAUCCAGCUUGUGAU